rnacentral:rRNA from 1 species
CCUACGGGAGUCUGCAGUGAGGAAUAUUGGUCAAUGGGCGCGAGCCUGAACCAGCCAAGUAGCGUGAAGGCUGACUGCCCUACGGGUUGUAAACUUCUUUUAUAAAGGAAUAAAGUGAGGCACGUGUGCCUUUUUGUAUGUACUUUAUGAAUAAGGAUCGGCUAACUCCGUGCCAGCAUCCGCGGUAAUACGUAGGAUCCGAGCGUUAUCCGGAUUUCUUGGGUUUAAAGGUAGCGUAGAUGGGUUGUUAAGUCAGUUGUGAAAGUUUGCGGCUCAACCGUAAAAUUGCAAUUGUGACUGGCAGUCAUGAUUAAAGUUGAGGUAGGCGGAAUUAGUGGUGUAGCGGUGAAAUGCUUAGAUAUCACGAAGAACUCCGAUUGCGAAGGCAGCUUACUAAACUGCCACUGACAUUGAUGCUCGAAAGUGUGGGUAUCAAACAGGAUUAGAUACCCUAGUAGUC